rnacentral:lncRNA from 1 species
GGGUUUUUGUUUGUUUGUUUGUUUUUCUAAAAUGCCAUGUGUAUGAUUGUUUCCCAGCGUGUAUGUCUGUGCACCACAGGCAUGCCUGAUACCCACGGAGGCCAGAAAACAAGCAGUGGAUCCCAUGGAAGUGGACUUAAAGACAUUGUGAGACACCAUGUACUAUGUGCAUGUGGCACACAUUCAUAUAUACUGAAGAUAGAACGUACACCUAGGAUAAAAAAGUAAAUGUUCUGGUGAGAUGGCUCAGUGGGUAAGAGCACCUGACUGCUCUUCCGAAGGUCAGGAG